AGAAAGAUGAUGCUUUGAUUGGGCUCAAGUCCACGGCACUGCGGUUCCGUGAAGACACCAAGAAGUGGCUCAGUGGCUUCAGUGUGGCCAUGCUGGGGGCUCUGAGCCUGGUGGGAGUGAACAGUGGUCAGACUGCGCCCUACUACGCUGCCCUGGCUGCUGUAGGAGCCCAUCUGACUCACCAGAUUUACACUUUGGACAUCCACAGACCUGAGGACUGUUGGGAAAAGUUCACCUCCAACCGAACAAUAGGACUAAUAAUUUUUGUAGGGAUUGUCCUUGGGAACUUGUGGAAAGCAAAGGAAACAGAUAAAACAAAGAAAAAUAUAGAAAAUAGAAUAGAAAAUUAGGCAGAUUAAGUUUAUCUAGGGAUUUUUAAAACAAACUUUUACAAAACACUUUCAGGUCUUGUUACCACAUAAUUAGAUUUGAAUAAGUCUUAUGGUAUAUAACUGAAUUACAAACCGGUGGAUGAAGUUUUAGAGCAUUUUGGCCUAGAUUUUAGUUCAAGUAUGUACAUGUCAGAUUCUUCUCCUGUCACAGGAACCAGGGACUGUUUAGGAUUUGCAGUGACCUGGAGUAUUUAAAUUAAUGCUUUCUUCCUGUUGUAAUCCUCAUCUAGAGUCACAGGAAUUACAUGAUUUUUAGCACUUUAGCAAUAAAAACUCAUAUAUGUCUCAUCUAAAUGAAUGUCUCUAGGAAAGUGGGUACUUUUUAGGGGAAAGAAUAAAAGCUGUUACAGAAAG